rnacentral:lncRNA from 1 species
UGAAGUCUUCUCAACACUCCCCCUCAAGCUUGACCAUAUGGAACAAGUCAAGCUUGGGAGAGCAGCUUCAUGAUCACACCAUCAGACCCUUGCAGCACCUUCUGAACUCGCCAUCUCCAUGGAAUGCUUGUGGAACCUUCAGCUCCCUCUUCAGACUGCUCACACUGGAAGCCGCCUUGAUAGAGUAGCUCCAUCAUCUUCACACAGCCGAGAGUGCUCUGAACACUCCCUUGUUCUUCCCACAGCCGGAUGACUCCUUUUCCAUCAGUUGCUUGCCAUGGUCUUCCUUCUUUGCUCACUUAACUCCCCUCCUCAAGCUUGGAUAGAAUGAGGGUCCAAGCUUGGAAGUGAGCAGCCGUGAGUCUUCACUAACCAGUGGCACAUAACCACUUCAGUAACCGCUCUCCAUUGCUCAUGACAAUGGGCAAUGCCUUCCUCUUUCUCUUGGAUUGGUGAAGAACUAAGAACACUCCUUGUGCACCUGAAACACCACUCAACCUCCAGAGAAGAUUAGACAUAGGUGCAUUGGGUCAGUCCUUGAUUCCACAUCAAGCUUGAACACCAAUGUCUCACUAAAGCAAUGCAAGAUCAAACAAGACAUCCAAGUUUCAAAUCAUUGCAAGCUCAGCUCUCUAAGUUCUAGUAUGAUCCUACAGAUUCAUUACAAGAUACUUAGGCAAUUUUUGACAGCUCCUUUACUCAGCAUUUAGACAUGAAUCUAAUGCUUCAAUGUAAGACAGCCAUUUGACAGUAUGCACUAACCUUAAUCAGUUUUAAUUCAUGAAUGCAACAAUACAAUUCAUCACACAUUCAUUUAUAACUUAGGCUAAGCAUUACUAUCAUCACUUAACAUCAGACAAUGCAUUACUUUCAAUCUGUUUUCAGUUCAUGAGCUUCAAACUAUAUCAUUUCACAUUUAGCAAACUCAUUACUUAACAGGAGCAAGCAUUUUACUCUUUAAACACUAAACAAGCCUUUAAAGCAUCCUGGGACAGAUUCAACUAGUUAUAUUUAGCAAUCACAUUAUCCUCAGGUUUUUCAAUCUAUACACAUCACAAUACACAACUCAUCUUAUCAUCUGCUCAUCAUCAAGAAGGUUUUAAGAAUCGUUUACCAAAAGGAACCAGAUUGGUUCCUUAACCUUUCAUGAAACCGGCCAUGCUUUGUUGGACUUGAGAGUGGAUCGUCACCCACCUCCUUCACCUUCAGUUCAUGGCCUCCAUCUUGUACCAUCAGCUUCAAAGACCCCUCCUUUCUUCAUCUCCACUAGGCGCCAAGCUCUUGACACCAUCUUCUUUGGAACCGGAUGUGUUCUUCUCUUGGACAAGGCGCCUUGGUACAAGGAUAGCUAGGCCUUGUCCAUACACCUCUGCUUCCAAGGAGAAUCACCAUCAGGACAGGAAGAGAACAGGAUGAGGAACCAUGAGAACUCGCCAAGCUUCAGUCUUCUUCUUCAUAAGGAGAUGAAUCGGAUGGAGAGAGCUUCAAUGGUUUGGAUGUGAGCUGAGGAGAGAGCAGUGUGUUUGCGGAAGCUUCAGCUCAGGUUCUGAUGAACCUGGCUCUGAUACCAUAUGAGGUUUUCAGAGCUCAGGCUGUGUGUGUGAGAACAAGCCACUAAGGGCGAAAUGAGAGCUUGAACUGAAGAGAGAAAGGUCUGAUGAAGAACAGUAUGAACUUGGACAGAAACAAGAGAUUUAGAGAGAUUAAGAGAUUUAAGUAUAAGAAAGGGGUAGUUUGAGGGAUUCUUAUCCAAGAACACACUUUGUAUUAUGAAGGAGGAGGGGAAAUCCCCCUCUCUCUCUUAAGAGAGUUACAAACGCCCAUGAGGUCUUUAUAUAGGUUUUACACUCUUGCAAACUCAUAAACCUAUAUCUAAUGGAUAGAAAUAACUUAAGAGGAAUGGAUGGUGAGGAUGAGUUGGUCUUGUUGUGAUCUGAGUGAUGUGUGCUGAUUGGAUGAGCUAAGCUGGCUCACUUUAAUUCAAACAAGGCUGUGCUGUGAUUGGCUCUCCUUAGGCUCCUUUGUAUCUGUCUACAGAUCAGUCUAGGUGCAUGGUCGUGGCUGCUCUUCCUUUACAGCAACAGCCAGCCUGUCCAUGCCCCAAAGUAACCAAUCAGCUCCACACAGCAUCUUCUUGAUUCCCUUUGACUAGAUUCAAACCUUGGUGCCUCACAUCCUGAAUAGUGAUCCAAAUAGUGAAUAGUCAACCUGAAUAGUGACUAGUGAUUCACUAUUCACUUUUACACCAACUUGCCCAACCUUCUCCAAUCUUACUGUGGUAACUCUCCAAAGUUACUGUGGUAACUUUGGAGUUACUGUCUGACCCAAAUCUUCUCUAAAUGGUGUCUAAGUCCCUCCUGGACUUAACUCUAUCUUUGCACACUCAUCAGACCACUUCUGAAGCCUUAAGACUCUCCCAAAGCCUUACAUACAAUCUCUAAAGAUCUUGCCAUGUCUUUGCACAAGCACCAACUCAACUCAUCACUUUUGCUUCUCCACUUCUUCUCUUCAAGUUAACACUCCCCCUCAAGCUUGACUCUAGCUGAUCCUAAGUCAAGCUUGGAACCUUGAAGAACUUCCUCAUUAAAAACCUCACCAAGGAAAACCCUUUGGGACAAAACCUUGAUGAGGGAAAAAGAGUAAAGUCUCCAAGGCCUAGGGAUUGGCCAGUGAGUCUUUGUGCCUUACCAACAAUGUAAGGGACACAAAGACUCGGAUCAUGGCCCCUUCUUGUGAUGCAAGGUAGAUCACAUCUUCUCUUGCUCAUCACUCUUCAUCUUGUAAUAGCUGAGCCUUGGCUGCUUCUUCUCUUCGAGUUUCCACCUUGUUCUAAAGCUUCAUGGUCGGAUGCCUCAGUCUGUAGUACCAAGGCUGCUCUGCUUUGGCCGCCUUGGAGAUUGCUUCACCAUCCUCCAUCUUGCUUCACAAACCGGUCUGCUCCUCUUCUAGAAUAACCGCCAAGUGCUCUCAUCAAGAAGCCUUCUCAACACUCCCCCUCAAGCUUGACCAUGUGGAACAAGUCAAGCUUGGAAGGAGAGCUUCUUGAUUCUCUACAUUUGCUCACUGCCGUCCACCUUCUUGAACCGGCACCUUUGUGAUCAUUUGAAGUCUUCUCAACACUCCCCCUCAAGCUUGACCAUGUGGAACAAGUCAAGCUUGGGAGAGCAGCUUCAUGAUCACACCAUCAGACCCUUGCAGCACCUUCUGAACUCGCCAUCUCCAUGGAAUGCUUGUGGAACCUUCAGCUCCCUCUUCAGACUGCUCACACUGGAAGCCGCCUUGAUAGAGUAGCUCCAUCAUCUUCACACAGCCGAGAGUGCUCUGAACACUCCCUUGUUCUUCCCACAGCCGGAUGACUCCUUUUCCAUCAGUUGCUUGCCAUGGUCUUCCUUCUUUGCUCACUUAACUCCCCUCAUCAAGCUUGGAUAGAAUGAGGGUCCAAGCUUGGAAGUGAGCAGCCGUGAGUCUUCACUAACCAGUGGCACAUAACCACUUCAGUAACCGCUCUCCAUUGCUCAUGACAAUGGGCAAUGCCUUCCUCUUUCUCUUGGAUUGGUGAAGAACUAAGAACACUCCUUGUGCACCUGAAACACCACUCAACCUCCAGAGAAGAUUAGACAUAGGUGCAUUGGGUCAGUCCUUGAUUCCACAUCAAGCUUGAACACCAA